rnacentral:rRNA from 1 species
UACGAAGGGGGCUAGCGUUGCUCGGAAUCACUGGCGUAAAGCGCACGUAGGCGGUUCGUUAUGUCGGAUGUGAAAGCCCUUGGCUUAACCGAGGAAGUGCAUCCGAAACUGGCGAGCUAGAGUACGAAAGAGGAUCGCGGAAUUCCCGGUGUAGAGGUGAAAUUCGUAGAUAUCGGGAGGAACACCGGUGGCGAAGGCGGCUCACUGGGGUCUUCUGACGCUGAGGAACGAAAGCCAGGGGAGCGAACGGG